ACGAGAAAGUUCCUUCGGGAGCGAGUAGAGUGGCGCACGGGUGAGUAAUGAAUAGGAACGUACCUAUUGGUGGGGGAUAACUACGGGAAACUGUAGCUAAUACCGCGUAAUGUCGCAAGACCAAAGAAGGCCUCUGCUUGCAUGCUUUUGCCAAUAGAUCGGCCUAUUUCUCAUUAGCUUGUUGGUGGGGUAAUGGCCUACCAAGGCGACGAUGGGUAGCUGGUCUGAGAGGAUGAUCAGCCACACUGGAACUGAGACACGGUCCAGACUCCUACGGGAGGCAGCAGUGGGGAAUCUUGCACAAUGGGCGAAAGCCUGAUGCAGCAACGCCGCGUGAGUGAAGAAGGCCCUUGGGUUGUAAAGCUCUUUCGGCUAGGAAGAAGGGUCAUUUGGUUAACACCCAGAAGGCUUGACGGUACUAGAAGAAGAAGCACCGGCAAAUUUCGUGCCAGCAGCUGCGGUAAUACGGAAGGUGCAAGCGUUGUUCGGAAUGACUGGGCGUAAAGCGCGCGUAGGCGAGUUCGUAUGUCGGAUGUGAAAGCCCUGGGCUUAACCUGGGAACUGCAUUCGAAACUGCGAAUCUUGAAUGUU
rnacentral:rRNA from 1 species